rnacentral:rRNA from 1 species
GACAGAGGGUGCAAACGUUGCUCGGAAUCACUGGGCGUAAAGGGCGUGUAGGCGGGAAGUAAAGUCAGAUGUGAAAUCCCCAGGCUCAACCUGGGAACUGCAUUUGAAACUCCCUUUCUUGAGUGUCGGAGAGGAAAGCGGAAUUCCUGGUGUAGAGGUGAAAUUCGUAGAUAUCAGGAGGAACACCAGCGGCGAAGGCGGCUUUCUGGACGAUAACUGACGCUGAGACGCGAAAGCGUGGGGAGCAAACAGG